CCUACCCUUGACAUGUCAGGAAGUCCGCAGAGAUGUGGAUGUGCUCGAAAGAGAACCUGAACACAGGUGCUGCAUGGCUGUCGUCAGCUCGUGUCGUGAGAUGUUGGGUUAAGUCCCGCAACGAGCGCAACCCUUGUCAUUAGUUGCUACGAAAGGGCACUCUAAUGAGACUGCCGGUGACAAACCGGAGGAAGGUGGGGAUGACGUCAAGUCCUCAUGGCCCUUAUGGGUAGGGCUUCACACGUCAUACAAUGGUCGGUACAGAGGGCUGCCAACCCGCGAGGGGGAGCUAAUCCUUUAAAACCGAUCGUAGUCCGGAUUGUAGUCUGCAACUCA
rnacentral:rRNA from 1 species